UUAAAUGACCGCCUAUCCAAAGAGGAAGCCGAUUUUGGAAGCCCGGGGAGGAGCAGUGCUAGCUCUCCAAGAGAAAGGCGUGCGGCUGCAAUCCCACCAGCUGAGCCCCUUAAAUCCCCACUGGAUGCACUUCCUCACUGGUAGCACGUGUGCCUUCGUCCAGCUCCUUACAGGAUGGGCAUCGGCCUUCCCUCCCGCUGGCGUGACGCACUUCGGGGCACAGUGAGGUUCAGCUUCCUGCUGCUUACAGGAUUUACAAGUGACGGGUGAGGGGGACCACGGGCACCGCAUCGCGCCAGCAGCUGCGAGGCACGGCAGAGGGCAGCCUCACGCACUCAGCCAAGGAAGACCUCGCCGCGGGGAGCAGAGAGCGACACAGGGCCGAGCGGAGGAGGCCCAGCUGAAUCAGAGCCAUCGCCUAGUCUUGGGACACGACCUGCAGACACAAAAACCACAACACCGUGCCUGAGAAGGUCGAUUCACCAGACACUCUCAGGUUCAUUCAGUUAUACACGACUCAAUUCCUAAAUAUACACUCCAUAAAAAUGCAUUCAGUGUAUAUUUUCUGGGGCAGUAUGUAGCCCGUCAGGUUAUGGAUCAGUGAAUAUUUGGAAGGUUGUUUGUUCGAAUCCCAUGUAAUAUCAUAUCACUAGGGACAUGUUUACUUUAGCGAAUUUUCACAGCGAGACAUAAAGGAGAAAGACUCAUUCAAUGUGACUACCAUAAAACGCUGUUAUCCAUCAAUCUUCUGUCCUCUUAUCCUGGUGAGGGGUACCAGGGGACACACAUUCAUUAUCUCACUGGUACACUACAAGCAAGAUAAAGACACCAAUCACCCAAACUACUGGGAUAUUGCAGUACCUGAAGGAAACAGGCAAAACAUGCAAAGCCCACACAGAGCAGCGGUGAGAUCUGAACCCCGAAUGGCGCAGGCAUGAGGCAGCAGUGCCACCCACCACACUGCCGACCUAAUCUGUCACUAGGGGUCCAAGCACCAGUGGCACUGGAUCCACGUGGCUUUUGUAAUACUUUUUGUAAGAUACAGAUGUUUGCCUUUGUAAAGCGUGCAUCCAGAACGCAACGCUUCCACAGUACUACGACAGGCGGAUUCCCCUGCUGGCGAUGUCUCACUCCCCCUCUGUCCUGCUGAGCUGACCAUGACUGCAGCUCACCGGCUCAGGUGCAAAGGCCAAGCAAAAAAAAAGUGGGGUGUCACUCCUCAGCAUGAAAGCAAACAACAGACGUGACCCCCUAACCCCCGCAAACCUCAGCGCGGUAGGAUUAAUAAAGAAAAGGGGUGAAAACGCAAUGACCAACAUAACCAGUAGAUGGCACUGCAGAUACCUUACAGAAUACGAGCACCCCCAUGAAGGGGGUUGUGGCAGGACCAAACAGCUGAUGGCUAUUUAGCUGAGCAGCUCUUUUUCCUGGUCAAUAGCAAAAUUCCUAAAAGCUGCCUUUCUGAACUGCACCUUUCACAGUCCAUGGAUGGGAACAAUUGAGGAGAGCGUCUAGCAGAAGACGACACCCUCUCUACGAAACAGACUUUCAAGAAAAGACGUGUGAACAGAAAGAUGCGGCUGGCAUGCAGGUGGAUCUAGGCUUUGGCUUAACAUCGAUGCGUGAGGUUAAAGCCUAGUCAAAACAACGCCUCCCAACACGCUCACGCGGUGAAAGGUGCGGAAAGGAAUCUGGAGGGCCUGUUUACAUUCUGUCGUUUACAACUGUAUCAACGCUAUCGCUAAAAGCUACAACUGAGCCACCAUGGCUCUUCCUACAAACACGUCCCCAUUGAGAUUUCAUCGUGAUUCACCUGCAGUGACGUCCCAGUCACAAAAAUAGGGGUUUAUUUUCUGAAAGAUGAAAUGCAUUCAGGCUCAGUUGGAACAGAAACGUCGCCACCGGCCACGAGUCUGGAAAAAGCACCACGCCUUUACGUCGGAGCUGAAGCAGAAAACAGCCAUGCAGGUGUUAAGUGCGAUACGACGCCCUCGUCCGAGGGAUGGGGGAUGGACAGCUGGUCGACUCAUGAUACUAUCGCACGAAAGAUCUGUUUGCGCUCUGGGAGGGAUCUGUGUGCCAUAAAAACAUCUCAGGCUGCGUAUCACGGUUCGACAUCUGUUAUUGAGAAUUUGUGGAUGCUGCCAAACCAUGUUUUGGAUGUAAUAUUUUGGACAUUUCCACAGCAAAACUGUUUUAAAUGGUGAAAGUCAAUGUUAAUUAUCAUUUGGCAAAUGUUAUUUUGAAAUCAUAAUGAUUUCAAGCAUAAACGCAGUGCAGGUGUACCAUUGCUUUGGUUUUCUGCAAUCAGUUCAAAACAAAUGCCAACAUCUUUCUUACUGUACAAGUGGCAGUAAUUAAAUGAUGUUAUUAUA